rnacentral:rRNA from 1 species
CUAGAGUGCGAUAGGAGGAUGAGCAGGGAAUAUCUCCAGUGUAGCGGGUGAAAAUACGUAGAUAUUAGUGAGGAACACCACGCGGCGAAAGAGCGGGUUUCCUGGGUCUGCACUGAACACUGAGGGAUCGAAAGCUAGGGGAGCGAAAAGGGAUUAGAUACCCCCUGUAGUACUAGCCGCAAAAGAUGACAUCUAGGCGUGGUUUGUAUCGACACCGAGUCGUUCCGUAGCCAACGCGUUAAGUUGUCCGCCUGGGGAGUACGGACGCAAGGGUAAAACUCAAAGGAAUUGACGGGGGCCCGCACAAGCGGUGGAGUAUGUGGUUUAAUUUGAUGCAACGCGAAGAACCUUACCAAGCCUUGACAUCCUAGGAACCCUGAUGAAAAUUAAGGGUGCCUUCGGGAACAGAGAGACAGGUGGUGCAUGGCGGUUGUCAGCUCGUGUCGUGAGAAGUUGGGUUAAGACCCCCAACAAGCGCAACCCCCGUUUUUAGUUGUCAGCACUCAGUGGGGCACUCUAGAAAGAGACUGCCGGUGACAAACCGGAGGAAGGUGGGGAAGACGUCAAGUCAGCAUGGCCCUUAUGCCUUGGGCCACACACGUACUACAAUGCGUCGGGUACAGAGGGUCAGCAAGCCAGCGAGGGGGAGCCAAUCCCAAAAAGCCGAUCGCUCAGUCCGGAUCGCAGUCUGCAACUCGCCUGCGUGAAGUCGGAAUCGCUAGUAAUCACGGAUCAGCAUACUGCGGUGAAUACGUUCCCGGGUCUUGUACACAGCGCCCGUCACACACAUG